UCAGUCAGCUGAUCGGAGCCAGCCCAGCGAGAGCCGAGCCGGCGGGGUUCAGCCGACCACGAGGUUCAGCCGAGAUUAGGAAGCUCAGAGGGAAACGUACAGGGACAGCGUGAUUCCCGUCGAGUCCCAAUCCCUGCAGCCCCGGCAGCCAUUGCGAGAGAGUGGCUGACGUGACGGGGGGCGUUCCCACGGUGACGGCGGCCACACCCUCUCCCCUUGCCUUGAAACAUCCUUUGGGAGGGCAGCGACUGGUGUAAGGCAGCCCACCAGGUGUAAGGAGGAGCAACCAGCUUGUGUAGCGGGGAAAGGAUCUUGAAACUUACAGCAGGGGGGGAAUAUCUCAUGUUAUCUACCUUCUGCUCCAGGACUCCAUGACCUUACUGUUUAAAAAGAGCUUUAGAAGGCUGUUUCUGAUACAAGUCUGGUUGCUGUUGGCCCUCUUGGCCACCUGGACACACUGCUGGCUCAUAUCCAUUUGGCUGAAUGAGACAAGAGAAGGAAGACAGCAAGAGAGAGUAAACCUUUAGUCUAGCAAAGAAGAGUGAAGACAAUGCCUGUAUAUCUCUGAUACACAAACUUUCGUUGGUUUUCUGGAACAACUAAACCAUCAUAUUACCCAUACCCCAAUAUUGGAGUCUGGUUUAUCUUCCAGAAUUAACAGAAAUUCAAUGUUAUUAUAUUUUUAAAAACAUCAUUCCACAUGUUGAUGUACAUUCUCUCAGCAUGUUUCACCUACAGAAAAUGAAAAAAAAAACAUGUAAAAUCUCACUUAUCUUCAUGCACAGAACCCUACCACAAACCAGCCAUUAAAACUGAUUUAGAUAAUUAUUUCCAUAAAAUCACAACUGAUUUUAUGUCAGGCUGAAGUAAUUAUGCCAGCAAAAAGUCAUCUUUGAUUUACCUUUAAUAAAAUUACUACAGAAACAAAUGUGUAUUUUCAGGUACUCAGCCACAUGGAAUUAUUUUAUUUAUUUAUUUAUUUAUUUAUUUAUUUAUUUAUUCUCCUGUUUAAUGUCAAGGAACAAUUGGCAUGAGAGAUAUGAUGUGCUAAGGUCAGAGAGAUCUGACUAUGCUGAGCAUAACUGUUCAUCUCAGUUACAGCCAGUAGUCAAAAAUGGAAGAAUAUUUUUAAGUGUUUCUCCUUGAUCCUGGCUCUCUCCAUCACAUAUUCCUGUUGCAUCCUGCUAUCUAGCAUCUGGUUAGUGUCUCAGUAGUCACCUAUACUUAAGAUAUGAAUAAAUUAGCUAUGCAAAGAAUCUGCAUAAAUAGCUUCAGUCCUGUAUCCAAAAUUCCAGGCAACAUUCCAAAAACAUUAAAUGAAGGAUGUCAUUAGAGAUUUCCAAGUUAGACUAUGGAUACAUCAUUUUAUUUGGAAAGAAAAACAGUAACAUCUUUCUGCAUUCCAGCUCACAGCAAAAGUUUGCUUUCAAUUCAACAGUGUUUAAUCAAAGAAGUUUCAAAUAAAAAUAAUAUAUCCUGCACUGUACAUUAGCCGAAUUUUUAGAGCAUCUAAGAGAUUCACAGUAUUCUUGAAACAUCCCUUUCAUUAAGGUAGGAAAGCUGAAAAAUAAAAAUUUCACCCAAUUAAAAAAAAAAUCUGUAUAUUACAGUGAGUGUGUUCAUAUUUGGUGUUUAAUAGUAACAUAUUUUUUCCAUUUACCUAUUUAGUAUAUGAUCUGUUAGGUCAAUUUAAAAGUGUACCUUCUACUGAAUGAAAUGGUAAGAUAAUUGCAUUACAUUUGUUUGGUUCUGAACUUGUAAGGCUUAACAAUGAACAAACAUUUUUCCUUUCUGAACUCACUCAGAUUUCUGACAAUAGAAAUACCCUAUAGGUUCUAACCAGGGUUUCAUCUAAUCCAGUCUUCUAUAGCAAAGUUACUGCUGUUUAGGAAUAGUCUAUGAUUUUGGCUGUUAUCUGCAGUCUACUCCUGUUGUACUUUUAUCAGUAUCAGGAAUUCCUGUAUUAUGGAUGUCAGAAGGCAUUUCUGACAGACAGGCAUUUCUGACUCACCUCCAUCUGAAGACACACUGUUAAGCCUGAGCAACUGCUUUUUACUUUUUAAACUAGGUUUUAGUCUCUAAAAGAACCUUUUGUUCAGUCAUGUGGCAAUUUAGUUUCUUCAGUCAGCUGUCAUGUGGAACUCAGUCAAAGGAGUUUGGAAAAUAUAUUAAGUCUACAGGAUUCCCUUCAUAAACAUGCUUAUCAACCAUAAUACAACCUUCAACAGGUUAGUGAGACAGAAUUUUUUUUUAAAGAAGAUGUGCUGACACCUUCACAAAAACUGUGAUUACCUGUGUCAUUAGUAAUUUCACUGCCAUAUUAAUAGACUUUCUGACUGACUAUUCUCAGAAUCUCCUCCAGAGCUUUUUAGGUUUGUAGGAGUUAAAUUAGGAACCCGACAACCCUCUGCCAAGUUUCUUGUGAUAUUUUCACCACCUUGACUGGCAAUUCUGUGAGUUCACAUCUGAAACACUGUGAUGAAUGACCUCUGAAUUUAGUGAAUUAAUGGUUUCCAAUUUAUCUAUUUGCUCUAAUAUUUCCUGCAUACUUGCCUCCAACUGUUUUUACUUUUUUGAUCUCUCUGUUAUAGAGAAUGCAUGAACUCUCAGAUCCUCCCAAAACAAUCACUUAAUUAAUUUAACUUAUCCUUUAAAGCUUUAUCAUUAUUGAGUACCUCCCCUAUAUGUUCUGAAAUUCUUUUACUGCUUGUGUUUUUCAUUUUCACUGGUAAUAUAUUUGUAGAAUAAGGCUCUUUAAUUAAUAUGGUCCUUUUAUCCAAUAACAUAUCUGUUAAAAGGAGGUUAAACCACCACGAAACAAAAUGUCUAAGGAAUUGUUUUUUUCAUAUUGCCCAUAAAGUUUCUCAGGCCUUUAGUAAAAUUAUGAAACAAUUACCUAAAUUAUCUAGAUAUUUCUCAUUUUGAAAUACACUGAAGAUCAUAAAAAAUACCAAAAAAAGGUGCAUGUUAUUUUGUCAAUUUAUUAUAUGUGAGGAAGUAAUUUUGAGGCUAUUUGUCAUAAGAUUUCAACUAUUUUAACUAUUAAAAAAAUGAGAACACCACUGUCUGAAAAUUAUAAAUAUUUUAAAAUUUGUAAUUUAACUUUUCAAUUUAAACCAUGACAUUAUAUAUUUGACAGAACACUGAACAAUUAGCCAUAUAUAGAAGACUGAGCCUAAUUUAGUUUGAAAACCUCUUCUAUUAAGUAAUGAUUAAAAGUGGACCCACAAUAUAUAAAAAUAUACUUGUUUCUCUUUAAAAUUUAAAAUCAGUUUCAAAUAACCCUGACUGUGUCAACCAGUUAAAUAGAACAGUUAUGUUUUUUUAAAAGACACUGUUUAGUCAAGAGAGGAAUGGUUUUGAAAGAGACAGAACAACUUCAGAAUGUUUAAAGUCUGAGUUAUAUUAAGUACAUAUUUUGGAGGCUCCCUGAAUCCAAGGAACCUAACUAGAGACUGUACUAGCCAUUAAUUAAGGAGACAGGGGUUCAAAUAUGUUGA